rfam:Arthrobacter sp. A3, complete genome.
CGCGGUCCUCGGUAGUGGCCUCCGGGAAGAGACGCCUCGCGUUUCGCGCCCGUGGGCCUCGAUCGAAGACCGGA